AGUGAACGCUGGCGGCAGGCCUAACACAUGCAAGACGAGCGGCAGCGCGGGGGCAACCCUGGCGGCGAGCGGCGGACGGGUGAGGAAUGCGUCGGAAUCUGCCUCUUUGUGGGGGAUAACGUAGGGAAACUUACGCUAAUACCGCAUACGACCUACGGGUGAAAGUGGGGGACCUUCGGGCCUCACGCAGAGAGAUGAGCCGACGCCGGAUUAGCUAGUUGGCGGGGUAAAGGCCCACCAAGGCGACGAUCCGUAGCUGGUCUGAGAGGAUGAUCAGCCACACUGGAACUGAGACACGGUCCAGACUCCUACGGGAGGCAGCAGUGGGGAAUAUUGGACAAUGGGCGCAAGCCUGAUCCAGCCAUGCCGCGUGUGUGAAGAAGGCCUUCGGGUUGUAAAGCACUUUUGUCCGGAAAGAAAAGCUUCCGAUUAAUACUCGGGAGUCAUGACGGUACCGGAAGAAUAAGCACCGGCUAACUUCGUGCCAGCAGCCGCCGUAACAC
rnacentral:rRNA from 1 species